rnacentral:rRNA from 1 species
UGGGGAAUAUUGCACAAUGGGCGAAAGCCUGAUGCAGCAACGCCGCGUGAGUGAUGAAGGCCUUCGGGUUGUAAAGCUCUGUCUUUUGGGACGAUAAUGACGGUACCAAAGGAGGAAGCCACGGCUAACUACGUGCCGGCAGCCGCGGUAAUACGUAGGUGGCAAGCGUUGUCCGGAUUUACUGGGCGUAAAGGAUGCGUAGGCGGAUUUUUAAGUGAGAUGUGAAAUACCCGGGCUUAACUUGGGUGCUGCAUUUCAAACUGGGAAUCUAGAGUGCGGGAGAGGAGAAUGGAAUUCCUAGUGUAGCGGUGAAAUGCGUAGAGAUUAGGAAGAACACCAGUGGCGAAGGCGAUUCUCUGGACCGUAACUGACGCUGAGGCAUGAAAGCGUGGGUAGCAAACAGGAUUAGAUACCCUGGUAGUCCACGCCGUAAACGAUGAGUACUAGGUGUAGGAGGUAUCGACCCCUUCUGUGCCGCAGUUAACACAAU